rnacentral:rRNA from 1 species
GUCGAACGAAGUAGCAAUACUUAGUGGCAGACGGGUGAGUAACAUGUAGGUAUCUGCCCUUUGGCCUGGAAUAACACGAGGAAACUUGUGCUAAUACCGGAUAAGUCUUUACGGAGAAAGCUUUAUGCACCAUUGGAUGAGCCUGCACUUGAUUAGUUUGUUGGUGGGGUAAUGGCCUACCAAGACUGUGAUCAAUAGCUGAUUUGAGAGGAUGAUCAGCCACAUUGGGACUGAGACACGGCCCAAACUCCUACGGGAGGCAGCAGUGGGGAAUCUUGCACAAUGGAGGAAACUCUGAUGCAGCGAUGCCGCGUGAGUGAAGAAGGCCUUUGGGUUGUAAAGCUCUUUCGUCGGGGAAGAAAAUGACUGUACCCGAAUAAGAAGGUCCGGCUAACUUCGUGCCAGCAGCCGCGGUAAUACGAAGGGACCUAGCGUAGUUCGGAAUUACUGGGCUUAAAGAGUUCGUAGGUGGUUGAAAAAGUUGGUGGUGAAAUCCCAGAGCUUAACUCUGGAAUUGCCAUCAGAACUUUUCAGCUAGAGUAUGAUAGAGGAAAGCAGAAUUUCUAGUGUAGAGGUGAAAUUCGUAGAUAUUAGAAAGAAUACCAAUUGCGAAGGCAGCUUUCUGGAUCAUUACUG